AUUGCUCCAGCCCAACAUAUACUAAAAUUCAAAUUAUACAGAGAAGAUUAGAAUGGGCCCUCCAUGUAGAUGACUUACAAAUUUGUGAAAUCUUCCAAAAUUUU